rnacentral:rRNA from 1 species
AUGUACAGUACAGGAGGAAAAGCAAGGCAUACAUACGUGCAGGUGCAGCAACCGCCUGGAAGCAACAAUCAAUCAUUCAUAGGCGUACUACAGAUCGACACGAUGGAAUCACAUACAUACACACAUACGUACGAGGUAUGGAUCGGAGAACCGAUCAUUCCAUCAAGCCUUCCACAUGUCCUGGAAGGUGGAGUGGAAGCUGGCGAGGACGAGGAGGAGGAGGACGACCAUGGCGACGCCCCAGGGGGAGCUGCCCUCGGAGGGCGCGGCCGGGUAGCCCCGCCAGCGGCUCUCGGUGGGGUAGAAGCCGAAGUAGCCCUCGAAGGUGUCGACGGAGGAGAUCCAGCGGAUGAGGAGGACGAGCGCGAUGGGCACGCCCAGCAGGAACCAGCUGAACUGCUCCGACGCCUCCUCCAUGAACUCCUCGUAGGAGAAGAACCACGACGCCCCCAGCAGCAGCGUCACCAUCAUCAGGAUCAGGAUCACCGGGUACGGCAGCGGCGACAGCGUGAACGCCUCCAGCACCGACGACUCCCCGCGCCGGUCGUAGUACGACAUGGCUGCCUCGCUGCUUCUUUGUGCUGCCUCGCCUGGCGUGCGUUUGCUUGGCCUGCGAGGUGGGGAAAGUGGAAGGGAGAGGUGGGGGGAUAG